rnacentral:rRNA from 1 species
UUNGAUACCCUGGUUAGUCCNCGCCCUAAAACUAUGAAUUGCUAGUCGUCGGGGAGCUNCGUCUCUUCGGUGAUGCAGUUAACACAUUAAGCAUUCCGCCUGGGGAGUACGGUCGCAAGAUUAAAACUCAAAGGAAUAGACGGGGACCCGCACAAGUGGUGGAGCAUGUGGUUUAAUUCGAAGAUACGCGAAGAACCUUACCUGGCCUUGACAUUGAUAGAAUCUGCUAGAGAUAGCGGAGUGCCCUUCGGGGAGCUUGAAAACAGGUGCUGCACGGCUGUCGUCAGCUCGUGUCGUGAGAUGUUGGGUUAAGUCCCGCAACGAGCGCAACCCUCGUCCUUAGUUACUAACGGUUCGGCCGAGGACUCUAAGGAGACUGCCUUCGUAAGGAGGAGGAAGGUGAGGACGACGUCAAGUCAUCAUGGCCCUUACGGCCAGGGCGACACACGUGCUACAAUGGGCAGGACAAUGAGACGCAAUACCGCGAGGUGGAGCAAAUCUAUAAACCUGCUCUCAGUUCGGAUUGUAGUCUGCAACUCGACUACAUGAAGCUGGAAUCACUAGUAAUCGUAGAUCAGCCAUGCUACGGUGAAUACGUUCCCGGGUCUUGUACUCACCGCCCGUCACACCAUGGGAGUUGAUUUCACCCGAAGCGGGGAAGCUAAACUGGCUACCCUCCACGGUGGAAUCAGCGACUGGGGUGAAGUGGUAACAAGGUAACCAAGGGCGAA